rnacentral:tRNA from 1 species
UGGGAUGUAGCUCAGAGGCACAGCGCCUGCCUGGAGUGCAAGAUCCUGAGUUCAAUUCCCAGUACCACAA